ensembl:lincRNA
CCCUCCGCUGGGCCCGGUCGGAGGCAGCGAGGCGCUGUGCGAGGCGCAGGGGUCAGCGCGCCCCUGUCCGCGAGGAGGGCAGAGGGGGAGCCGCCGGGACCCCGCCUGAGAUCCCGCUCCCGGGAACACUGGAAACGGCGCCGUAGGAGCCAGGCUGAUAAGUUCUCCCUGCCACUGCAUUCCCUAGAGCCGUGGUGGAUACGCAGCAAGUAUUUCUGGGACGGAAAACUGAAGGAAUCCGUUAGGAGUUUGCCGAGAGGAAAGGGCGUUGUUACGGGGCGGUUGAGCCAGGUGCGAGGGACGCAGGUGGUGCUGACCAGGAUUCCUCCGUGAGGAGGUACAGGAGAACUUUCUCUCCCACCCUGACGUCCCGAAAGACUGGGCUUCCACCGAAACGCUGGCUGUUUUUAUGCCCGCAGACUCUGUGAGGCUUAUAGAUCGUGAUAUUCUUCUUGUUGUUUUCGCGCUAGGAGGCUUAGAGUUAAUUUUCUUACCUACUUCUAGCAACAGGGUUAUAUUUUAAUAUAUUACCGUAGGUACUACUCUUGCCCAAUUCCAGUAUUUUUCUAACUUUAACUUACUAAUUAUUUCUACGUUUAUUUACAUUUUAAUAAUGUUAUAAUUUUUUAAAAAUGAGAUUUUGAGCCAGGUGUGGUGGGGAAAACCUGUAAUUCCAGCAUUCUGGGAGACCGAGGCAGGGAGAUUGCAAGUUCAAGCCCAAUUUAGUGACUUGGUGAGACUUUGUCUCAAAAUAAAAGAUUUUCUAAGGGGUAGGGAUGCAGCUCAGUGUGAAGGCCUUGAGUUCAAUUACCAGCAUUUCAAAAAGAAAAAAGAGGGAGAGAUUUUGUGUGAAUUAAUGCUUUAGUGAAUAAUGGUUGCUGUUGCGCUGAACUCACAACUACAAAUUUUAAUAUGCUAAGUGGUAACCUUCUCCUGCUUUCCAAUGUUUUUCUAAUCCUAAGUGAUCCUUUUGAUUUUUCUAUGUUUAUUUAUAUUUUAAUAAUGUUAUCUUAUACCUUCCCAGAAAUGAGAGUUUGUGGAAAUUAAUACUUAAAUAGGUAAGCAUCCCUGAUUCCUGAUGUGGAAACCAGCCCACGGCAAGCUUUAACAUCACCGGCGCUUUGGAAAGGACACUAGCUUUCUAAUUAACCUUCACUGGGGAUCCCAUCUAGGGUGACGUCACCGACGCCUGUGUGGGGUAGAGCACGUCAGAGUUAAGGUUCCAGCCAGAAGCAGAGCUUCGCAUGAGAUGACAGACUUUCUACCGCCUCGCUCUGAAUCCUGAGACAUUAUCAUGAGGAAUAUCUACACUUUGCAGAAUUUUGACCAAGAGAAGUUGACUUAUCAUUUCUUCUGCACAUUCCAAGCUUUUGGCUCAUCUCACCGUCUCAUUGGCUGCCAGUGACUCUGACGUGUCACACUGGUCCAGCUGGGGGAGCCAUACUGAUAUUAAAACUUAAAGCACUGGAAGAGAAUUCUCCCAAGGGAAAGUUUCCGAGGAAUUACUGUUCAACUAGUCUCUGUCAUCCCUCUGUAACCCCAAAAUGAAAACAAUAAUUUAAAAGCUUAUGUUGUCCCCAGCCAAAUAACCACAAUCUGCUCCCAAUGUAAGGUUCUGUAAUUACAUUAUUUUGAAGAAAUUCAAUAAAAUCUAUCCUACGGUACUGUUUUUGUAUUUUGCUAUAUUAAGCCAUUCCAGAUGGCGACUGAACAACAUACCUUUGAAGAGCCUUUUAUUUAUUUUCUCUAGUCUAAUAGUAGCAUUUCACAGCUUUUGCAACGUUUUAAGUUGCUGCCUGCUUUUGGCACCUUACCCAG